GGGAAAGUGGCUCAGUGGUAGAGUGUUUGCCUUGCAUGCAUGAGGUCCUAGGUUCAAUUCCUCAGCACCA
rnacentral:tRNA from 1 species